GAUAUUUUAUUAUAAAUUUGCAGCAAUGAAGGUGAUAUACCUAACUUUGCUAAUCGUUUCAAUUGUCAUAAUUUCUAGUAUGGCUCAUGAAAGUAGUCAAAGUAUUGAGGAUCAAGAAGAAAUACAAAAUUAUACUAAAAUUGCCGAAAAAAUAGCCGAACAUCAGGAAGAUCUGAAUACGGACUGCUUAGAGCUGUUAUGGGAAGAAGUUAACAAGCUUAUCUAUUUAAUUUUUUGGGAACAAUUAUAAUGGUGCCUAUCAAAUAGUAUUAAUAAUACUAUUUAAUCAGCAGAUAUUUUAACUAAAACAAGCAUCUUGUAAUGAUAUGAUAAUAUAUCAUUCGAUAUUGUGAAGAAUUACAUGAAAUAAUGCCUUUUGUAUCGGAAUUAUGUAAAAAUAUGAUAUAUAUAAUCAUCCUUCUUUCUGUUAAAUAAAAUAAAUUCUGUUAAUUAAAAUAAAAUAUCUUGUAUUAAUAAAUAUCAACACUAUGUAGUACCAAUAUUACUACAAAUAUGUUAUAUAGUAAA